UGUAGCAAAAUGGUGAAAGAAAGUGCUCUACUCAGAUAUAUAUUCGGGUUCUUUAAUUUGCUUUUUGCGGUAAGUGGGCAGUGGUUAGGCUAUUGGCACAAAGUGUUUUCAAACCAUACUUGAUGCUGUAAACUCUUUUAUUUUUACCUUUUAAAUAAGCUGUUUUGAUUGUAGCUUGCAGAUGUUGCUGUUAUCUCCUUUGCGAUUAUUGUCCAUGUCGUGAUUUCUAACUUGCUGAAGGUAAUGGUUUCACAGUUUUCCACGUGUGUUUUCGGUUAGGAUUCGAAGUCACAUAACCUAUCCAACAUGUGUAGGCCUAGCUUGUGUAGCGAUUAACCUCUCUCAGAACGAUGGAUUGUCCAAGUGUGUAUUUUGCUUUGUGAAUUAAGACUUUGUGCCCCUUUUCAGUCUGGAAGUGUCGAUAAGGGACUCGUCCUCUGGUACGUGAUUGGCUUCAUCACUUUUGCCAUUUCGUUCUUGGGAGCUUACGCGGCAUUCAGACAAGUCAAAUGGAUGCUGAUUGCGUUCCUGGUGCUGAUGUGCAUUAUCUUCCUGUUCAUGAUUGUCACAACAGUCUUGCUUGCCAUCAACCAAAAUAAGGGAUGUGGUCUCCAUGGCUUGGCAUGCCUUAUGGAAUUCCAGGUUGUAUAUGGGCUGACUGCUCUUGCUGGGUUGGCCAUCGUGUUUUCUGCCUGUCUGAUUGCCCAGAUCACCAGGUAACUGGAGUUGAGGUUGUGCCUACCAUGAUGUUCAGCCCACCGGGUCAGAUGCAAUACAGAUUUGGUCAACGAGCCGUACCAUUAGGUUCUGUCUGACCCGAUGUGUCUCCUGGACGUGCAUAGCGAUGUGAACCAUUUUAAGCACCCCAUCCAGAGUUUGCACAUUUAUACACUUGCCUGUAUCAGGGUUGGAACUUUACACCCGUACACCCGCCAAAGACGAGUACAUUUCAGGGCUGACGGGUACAUUUCUCAACCCACUAGUCACUUUGAUGGGUGAAAACGUUCACCUCAACUCGAGCUAAGAAUAACUUGAAUCCCAUUCUUCACCCUAAAAUUUAUUACAAUGCAGCAAAUUGCAAAAAUAAUGAACUGAUUAUUAUGAUUAUUACUACUUUACAUUGUUCUUGUAAUGUAUUUUUUUUUUACUGUAUUUAGUGGCAUGUCUUGUCUUCCUUUUUUCUUCAUGCGAGGUAUUUUAUAGGUUA